CAUGCAGUCGAGCGACAGAUAAGGAGCUUGCGUCCUUUGACGUUAGCGGCGGACGGGUGAGUAACACGUGGAUAACCUACCUAUAAGACUGGGAUAACUUCGGGAAACCGGAGCUAAUACCGGAUAACAUAUUGAACCGCAUGGUUCAAUAGUGAAAGGCGGCUUUGCUGUCACUUAUAGAUGGAUCCGCGCCGUAUUAGCUAGUUGGUAAGGUAACGGCUUACCAAGGCAACGAUACGUAGCCGACCUGAGAGGGUGAUCGGCCACACUGGAACUGAGACACGGUCCAGACUCCUACGGGAGGCAGCAGUAGGGAAUCUUCCGCAAUGGGCGAAAGCCUGACGGAGCAACGCCGCGUGAGUGAUGAAGGUCUUCGGAUCGUAAAACUCUGUUAUCAGGGAAGAACAAAUGUGUAAGUAACUGUGCACAUCUUGACGGUACCUGAUCAGAAAGCCACGGCUAACUACGUGCCAGCAGCCGCGGUAAUACGUAGGUGGCAAGCGUUAUCCGGAAUUAUUGGGCGUAAAGCGCGCGUAGGCGGUUUUUUAAGUCUGAUGUGAAAGCCCACGGCUCAACCGUGGAGGGUCAUUGGAAACUGGAAAACUUGAGUGCAGAAGAGGAAAGUGGAAUUCCAUGUGUAGCGGUGAAAUGCGCAGAGAUAUGGAGGAACACCAGUGGCGAAGGCGACUUUCUGGUCUGUAACUGACGCUGAUGUGCGAAAGCGUGGGGAUCAAACAGGAUUAGAUACCCUGGUAGUCCACGCCGUAAACGAUGAGUGCUAAGUGUUAGGGGGUUUCCGCCCCUUAGUGCUGCAGCUAACGCAUUAAGCACUCCGCCCU
rnacentral:rRNA from 1 species